UACGUAGGGGGCGAGCGUUGUCCGGAUUUAUUGGGCGUAAAGCGCAUGCAGGCGGUCCUGUAAGUUUGAAGUGACAGUUUCCGGCUCAACCGGGAAAGUGCUUUGAAAACUGUAGGACUUGAGGGCUUCAGAGGGACACGGAAUUCCGGGUGGAGUGGUGAAAUGCGUAGAUAUCCGGAGGAACACCGAAGGCGAAGGCAGUGUCCUGGGGAGCACCUGACGCUCAGAUGCGAAAGCCAGGGGAGCGAACGGG
rnacentral:rRNA from 1 species